UACGUAGGGUGCAAGCGUUGUCCGGAAUUAUUGGGCGUAAAGAGCUCGUAGGCGGCCUGUCACGUCGGCUGUGAAAACCCGGGGCUCAACCCCGGGCCUGCAGUCGAUACGGGCAGGCUAGAGUUCGGCAGGGGAGACUGGAAUUCCUGGUGUAGCGGUGAAAUGCGCAGAUAUCUGGAGGAACACCGGUGGCGAAGGCGGCAUCCUGGACCAACACUGACACUGAGGAGCGAAAGCCAGGGGAGCAAACGGG
rnacentral:rRNA from 1 species